CUCUAUAUGGCAAAAUCAGGCUUAAAUAGAAUAAGAUUUGAAAGAAGCAGAUUGUGAAGUUAGUACAAGACCAGAGAGCCCAAGAACAACAGCAAUGGCAUGAACAAGAUGCGAGACUUUACAUAAAACGCAAUGGAAUAUAAUCAAAAGCCCCUCUGUCUCCACGUCUCUCCAUCUCUCUCCACCUCCAUUUCAAUUGAAGAUGGAUUUGCAGAAAACAAACAGACACGCUCAAUAGGCCCUCAUCCGUAACGAAAACCUUCCAAAACGCCGAAAUACUAAGGUUCAAAAAAAAUUUAUAGCGAGAACGAAACAACACCCACGACUCUGUAACACGAGUUCAGACCCAUCAAACAGUAUAAUUUCAGGACCUCAGAGACCAAAUAUAAU
rnacentral:misc_RNA from 1 species